CCUACGGGGGGCAGCAGUGGGGAAUAUUGGACAAUGGGGGCAACCCUGAUCCAGCCAUGCCGCGUGUGUGAAGAAGGCCCUCGGGUUGUAAAGCACUUUCAGUGAGGAAGAACGCCUGGUGGUUAAUACCCAUCAGGAAAGACAUCACUCACAGAAGAAGCACCGGCUAACUCCGUGCCAGCAGCCGCGGUAAUACGGAGGGUGCGAGCGUUAAUCGGAAUUACUGGGCGUAAAGCGCGCGUAGGUGGCUUGAUAAGCCGGUUGUGAAAGCCCCGGGCUCAAACCUGGGAACGGCAUCCGGAACUGUCAAAGUAAGGGUCAAGGAAGGAAAGGAGGAAUCCCGGGGGUGGGGUUAAAAGGGGUAAGGUCGGGAGGAAUAACAGUGGCGAAGGCGGCCUUCUGGACUGACACUGACACUGAGGUGCGAAAGCGUGGGUAGCAAACAGGAUUAGAUACCCCUGUAGUC
rnacentral:rRNA from 1 species